rnacentral:rRNA from 1 species
GACGAACGCUGGCGGCGUGCCUAAUACAUGCAAGUCGAGCGAAUGGAUGGGAGCUUGCUCCCUGAAGUUAGCGGCGGACGGGUGAGUAACACGUGGGCAACCUGCCUAUAAGACUGGGAUAACUUCGGGAAACCGGAGCUAAUACCGGAUAGUUCUUUUCCUCUCAUGAGGAAAAGGGGAAAGAUGGUUUCGGCUAUCACUUAUAGAUGGGCCCGCGGCGCAUUAGCUAGUUGGUGAGGUAACGGCUCACCAAGGCGACGAUGCGUAGCCGACCUGGGAGGGGGGUCGGCCAACCUGGGACUGAGACACGGCCCAGACUCCUACGGGAGGCAUCAGUAGGGAAUCUUCCGCAAUGGACGAAAGUCUGACGGAGCAACGCCGCGUGAACGAAGAAGGCCUUCGGGUCGUAAAGUUCUGUUGUUAGGGAAGAACAAGUAUGAGAGUAACUGCUCGUACCUUGACGGUACCUAACCAGAAAGCCACGGCUAACUACGUGCCAGCAGCCGCCGCAGUAA